rnacentral:rRNA from 1 species
UUAAAUUGAAGAGUUUGAUCAUGGCUCAGAUUGAACGCUGGCGGCAGGCCUAACACAUGCAAGUCGAACGGUAACAGGAAGCUU